rnacentral:ribozyme from 2 species
GGAAAUUCAGAGAAAAGAAGAAGGCAAGGACAUUCAAGAAAAAAGUCCGGUACGAGUCACGCAAGAGGCUCGCCGAGGCCAGGCCAAGAAUCAAGGGGCAGUUUGUGAGACCAGAAGUCGCGGCAGCAGCAGCUGCAGCAGCAGCAGCCGCUGGGGUUGCCGCCGCAAAGGCAGCGAAGGCUGAAGCAUAGGCUGAUGAAUAGAUGGAACAUUCUCAUGAGCAGUGGUGUUUUCUAUUUAUCCUUUCUCUCUCUUUUUUGUUUUGCUUUUUUAUAUGAGUUCGAUCCUUUAGCUUUCAA